UACGUAGGGCGCAAGCGUUAUCCGGAAUUAUUGGGCGUAAAGAGCUCGUAGGCGGUUUGUCGCGUCUGCCGUGAAAGUCCGGGGCUCAACUCCGGAUCUGCGGUGGGUACGGGCAGACUAGAGUGAUGUAGGGGAGACUGGAAUUCCUGGUGUAGCGGUGAAAUGCGCAGAUAUCAGGAGGAACACCGAUGGCGAAGGCGGCACUCUGGGCCGGAACUGACGCUGAGGAGCGAAAGCGUGGGGAGCAAACAGG
rnacentral:rRNA from 1 species